AUCUGCUAUAAAAGGAUUUGACAACAAAACCUAGCUUGCAUUGAUAGCAUUAAAGAUGUUUUCCAACGUUAUUUUGAACGCGGUAUUUUUAAUGCUGAGUCUUGUUUCCAUAGCAGACAGUUAUUGUUUUCGGUCAUCUACCGGUCCAGGUUUUAAAGACUGUACUGCACCAAAUGAAGACCAUGUAGAAGAUGGUACACGUUAUACAUCAUAUGAAGAUUGUAUCACUUGUGAUUGUAACAGCGGCUCCAUGAAUUGUUGUCAAAUAGGAAUAACUUUGGUUGGCCUCCAUCCAGACUGUAAGGCUGUAAAAGAUGGACCAUGUUGGGAAAAAGCUGUAAUGAAAGACAAUGAAAACGAGCCAUGUCCCUAUCCGUAUGGAGGAAAGGGUCGUUAAGGUUGAUAAAUAAAAUUGAUAUGAGAUAAGAA